rnacentral:rRNA from 1 species
AUUGAACGCUGGCGGCAUGCCUUACACAUGCAAGUCGAACGGCAGCACGGGAGCAAUCCUGGUGGCGAGUGGCGAACGGGUGAGUAAUAUAUCGGAACGUGCCCAGUCGUGGGGGAUAACGUAGCGAAAGCUACGCUAAUACCGCAUACGAUCUAUGGAUGAAAGCGGGGGAUCGCAAGACCUCGCGCGAUUGGAGCGGCCGAUAUCAGAUUAGGUAGUUGGUGAGGUAAAGGCUCACCAAGCCGACGAUCUGUAGCUGGUCUGAGAGGACGACCAGCCACACUGGGACUGAGACACGGCCCAGACUCCUACGGAGGCAGCAGUGGGGAAUUUUGGACAAUGGGCGGCAAGCCUGAUCCAGCAAUGCCGCGUGCAGGAUGAAGG